AGGUUCUCCCGGUUUCGCAUCGCUUCAAAAUUGGAUAAGGAGAGUGGAGAGGAGGAAGAUGUCAUGGGAGCAGGCCUGCUAAUAAAGUUACAAUGAGUGGGAGGAGUCACAUUGGUAACUGACUCCAGAGGGAGAGUAACUGACAGCAGCCAUGACAGACACUGCCUGUGAGUUAUGCUAGAUGUUUCAUGAAUAAAGCAGUUAACAGAA